rnacentral:rRNA from 1 species
CCGGGAAACCGGAGCUAAUACCGGAUAACAUUUUUUCUUGCAUAAGAGAAAAUUGAAAGAUGGUUUCGGCUAUCACUUACAGAUGGGCCCGCGGUGCAUUAGCUAGUUGGUGAGGUAACGGCUCACCAAGGCAACGAUGCAUAGCCGACUUGAGAGGGUGAUCGGCCACACUGGGACUGAGACACGGCCCASACUCCUACGGGAGGCAGCAGUAGGGAAUCUUCCGCAAUGGACGAAAGUCUGACGGAGCAACGCCGCGUGAGUGAUGAAGGCUUUCGGGUCGUAAAACUCUGUUGUUAGGGAAGAACAAGUACAAGAGUAACUGCUUGUACCUUGACGGUACCUAACCAGAAAGCCACGGCUAACUACGUGCCAGCAGCCGCGGUAAUACGUAGGUGGCAAGCGUUAUCCGGAAUUAUUGGGCGUAAAGCGCGCGCAGGCGGUUUCUUAAGUCUGAUGUGAAAGCCCACGGCUCAACCGUGGAGGGUCAUUGGAAACUGGGGAACUUGAGUGCAGAAGAGAAAAGCGGAAUUCCACGUGUAGCGGUGAAAUGCGUAGAGAUGUGGAGGAACACCAGUGGCGAAGGCGGCUUUUUGGUCUGUAACUGACGCUGAGGCGCGAAAGCGUGGGGAGCAAACAGGAUUAGAUACCCUGGUAGUCCACGCCGUAAACGAUGAGUGCUAAGU